rnacentral:rRNA from 1 species
UUGACCUCAAAUCAGGUAGGACUACCCGCUGAACUUAAGCAUAUCAAUAAGCGGAGGAAAAGAAACUAACAAGGAUUCCCCUAGUAACUGCGAGUGAAGCGGGAAAAGCUCAAAUUUAAAAUCUGGCAGUCUUUGGCUGUCCGAGUUGUAAUCUAGAGAAGUAUUAUCCGCCGCUGGACCGUGUACAAGUCUCCUGGAAUGGAGCGUCAUAGAGGGUGAGAAUCCCGUCUUUGACACGGACUGCCAGGGCUUUGUGAUAUGCUCUCAAAGAGUCGAGUUGUUUGGGAAUGCAGCUCAAAAUGGGUGGUAAAUUCCAUCUAAAGCUAAAUAUUGGCGAGAGACCGAUAGCGAACAAGUACCGUGAGGGAAAGAUGAAAAGAACUUUGGAAAGAGAGUUAAACAGUACGUGAAAUUGCUGAAAGGGAAACGCUUGAAGUCAGUCGCGUUGGCCAGGGAUCAACCUUGCUUUUGCUUGGCUUACUUUCUGGUCGAUGGGUCAGCAUCAAUUUUGACUGGUGGAAAAAGUUCAAUGGAAUGUGGCAUCUUCGGAUGUGUUAUAGCCUUUGUUCACAUACAUUGGUUGGAUUGAGGAACUCAGCACGCCGCAAGGCCGGGUUUUUAACCACGUACGUGCUAGGAUGCUGCAUA